rnacentral:lncRNA from 1 species
AAGUAAAAGACAAACUACAUCAAAGACCCGAGGGACCUCGUCUCAACAAGAAAGGAUACUCCUAUCAAAAAUCUCUCAACCACUAAAAAGAAACUCGGCACAGGCCGAGGAGAAAUCGACUUCCUCAAAAUAAUGAGAAGUUCGAGUCUCCAAGCUCGAGCAUCGGGAGGAAGCGUCAAACUCAAAUGGCCUUGAAAAGACCUACGAUCACGAACGAAAAAGGUAAAUCAACGCGGCGA